AGCAGUGUGGUCUAAUGGAAAGAACACUGGCCUGAGAGUCGGAAGACCUGGGUUCUAAUCCUAGCUCUGCCG
rnacentral:tRNA from 1 species